rnacentral:rRNA from 1 species
UACGGGGGGAGCAAGCGUUGUUCGGAUUUACUGGGCGUAAAGGGCGCGUAGGCGGCCACCGCAAGUCAAUUGUGAAAUCUCCGGGCUUAACUCGGAAAGGUCAACCGAUACUGCGGGGCUAGAGUGCAGAAGGGGCAACUGGAAUUCUCGGUGUAGCGGUGAAAUGCGUAGAUAUCAAGAGGAACACCUGAGGCGAAGGCGGGUUGCUAGGCUGACACUGACGCUGAAGCGCGAAAGCCAGGGGAGCAAACGGG